rnacentral:tRNA from 1 species
GGGGAUGUGGCGGAAUUGGCAGACGCGCAGCGCUCAGGACGCUGUGGACGUUUCGUCCGUGGAGGUUCGAGUCCUCUCAUCCCCACCA